GCACAUUAUAUCCAAUGCACAGGGUUGCAUAUGAAUAUCAUGUACUAUCAUGUGUGCCAUAUGUGAUAUCUUGUGUAUUUAGUGUAAAAUAAACUGAGUAGUAUGCAUGUGUUACUUAUUGAUGAAAUUUUCUUGUAACAUGCUUAUAUGUAUUAGUAAGAUUUGAUAGAAUUUAAACAAGUAGGAUGGUUUAGGAAUAAAUUGUAGAACUUGACUUGGGUUUGCCUUGGGUGGGGUAUUGGACUACCUUGAUCCCAUCCCAUUUUCUGUAUAUUGUAAUUCUAUUUUAGUACUCUAUUUUCAUGAAUAAUUUUAACUAUUCAUCAUAUAUAAAUACUUAAAUUCCCAAUCCCACUCUAAAUUUAAUAGUCUUUCUUGUUCUUAUCAUAGUAGUGUUUGCUACCUACUCAAGUAUAAUACAUAGCUUUAUGAUCUUCUUUGCUUUCCAAUUGUAGCUCCAACUACACCAUUAUUUUUUGAGUUCCCACUGCUGUAAACUGGCUUUCAUGUGGAACGAGAUUAUGAUUGAAGUUCUUUUUUCUUCUCUUUCUUCUUUUUCCACAUGGUUUCCUUAUUUUGUUGAUGAGAAAAUCUGAAAAUCUAAUGUAGUAACAUUUUAUGCCUUUUCAUGCUCACAUAAAAUUUGGUGCAAUGUUAUUUUGUGCUCUCUCCCAAACUUUUCCAUGCAGAAAAAGGUAGUAUAAUAAUAUGUUGUGUCACACAUUUCCAUUAUUCCCUUAUUUAGUUGAUCAGAAAUUUUAGUACAACAACAUGUGUUUUUUUCCAUGCUGUGUUUUCUUAUUUAAUUGGUGAGAGAUUUAAUAUAAUUUAUGCUGUGCUUUUUUCACACACACAAUGUACAAUAAUUUGUUUUGCAAUCUUACCCCAUACAAACCCACUUGAGUGCAUGUGUACACACACACACACAAACACACAUAUGUGCACAUGCACGCAUGUAGCAAUGUACAUGGUUUGGUGGAGGGAGUGGUGUAGGUUAUUUUAUUUAUAUUUAUUUAUUUUUCUCUUUGAUAGAAAUAUUGGUUCAUUGGCAAGAAAAAAGUAUCCUAUGGUCAUCUCUAGCUUUAUGAUGCACACUGUGUGUCAUUAAUGAUACAUAUUAUUAGAAAGUGUUGCCUAAAUUAAAAUUUAUAGUGGUAGUACAAGUGAAUAUGUUAUCCUAUGGUGCAUAUGUUAGAGAUACAUCUUACGUAUGAUCAUGUUCUUAUUUCUUAUCUAUAAAAGUUGGUAAAUAUUUUUAUCGUUUCGGUUUUUUCUAGACAUUUUAAUAGUAACUACCAUUUAUCCAUUUUAUGUUCUUAGUGAUUUAAUUUUGUUUAACUUUCAUGCCCUAAUAUUGAGGAUUAAAUAUUAUUUGUAUUUUAUCUUUCUUACCUCACAAAUAGAACUAUUGAAGCAUAAGGGAAGUACUUUCCUUGAUUGUAUCACAGUUGACCAGUGUCUUCCAGCAUGAGCAAGUACAAUAUCAUACACAAUGAAGAGAUUCAACAUUAUUUGUAUCAUUACCAUGGGCAAGUUGCUUUUAUAGUCACCACUUGCUCAAUUUGUUGCCUCCGUAAAAUCUAUCUCUAGGGUUUUGAGCGGGGGAUUGGGGAUGUCGCAUUUCAGACCAGUACUAAAGGUAUGGCUUUUGGUUUGAAAUAUUUUCUUCGUCUUAUAAAUGGUGGUAACUUAUGCUGUGUAUUUGGUUUCUUGAAAAAUGGGAGGACUCAAAUUAAUUAGGCUUAAUUGUUACUGAAAAAUCUAAGAGGUGAACCUUGAGAUUCAUCUUAUAUAUCUGAGAAAUAUUUUUCGGCAAAACAAAUGUGAAACGGCCCCAAACUUGAUAUUUUACUGAUUUUGUUUUCUCUGGGGUUGAAUCUUCUAAGGAACUUGGUUUUAGUGGAUAAAAUGGUUAAUUGGUGGCUUUAAGGGAUCAUUUGAUGUUCAACGCAAUGAAUUGAGAAAUAUGAUCAUGACCUGUUUGGGCCCUGGAUAUUCAUGUGGAAAGAGCACAGUUGAUACUUGAAGAAAAGGUUAAAGGCACACAGACAAAGGAUGCUGUGACUAUUGUUGUUGAUGCCAUAGUACUCUGAACAAUCCAUUAUUCAUGGAAUGGUGCUAUCACCAAGACAACCAUUUGGAUGAGGGAUGUAAACGAGUUUGGGGAAGCCAUUUUCAGGCUAGGGGUGGGUUUGGGGAGGUUUUUGAAAUCCAGACUGAGUUUGACCCAAGGUUAAGAUUUUAUGUUGGCAUGCCUCUCCCUGUUUAUAUUUUUAAUGUCAUUUGUACCACCUUCUAUGGAUUUCAAAAUGUUCCAAUAUGAACACCCUAAAGAUCAAUUUUCUCUUCUCCAUUCUCCACUCCUUUUGCCUCCUAACCCAGCAAACCUAACUUCAACUCAGCCUCACUCAGCAUGUGACCAUGUGGAUACUCUUGGGUGUCUUUGUCAACAUCUUUUCUAGUAUUAACUCUGUCAUCAUCUUGAAUCCUCACCUUUUCAGAUGGCUGGCCCUAAGCAGAGGAAAGGGUUGGAGCUAAGACCAGCUCUCUGAAGUGGGCCACAGAUGGCAGUGCUUUUACUUGAUGAGUGAAAAUUGCAAUAAAGAUGAAGGCUUAUUGGAGAUGAGAUCAAAAUGGCAAGGUUUCAGUGUUUCACGAUGAUGGUGACAUCUCCACAAUCUACACUCCAGAUUCCACACAUCAUGAAACUGGGAAUGGGGAUUUCUGAAAUUGGGUAGAGCAACAAGGCAUUGUUUACUUCAAAAUGAUGUCAUUGUAAAGUUCAUAUAUAAUGAAUGGACCAGAUGGUUUUCCUAAAAUUGGCUAGUUCAUGUGGGUAGGCAGUCCACUUGCCGGGCCUUCCAGUUUUUGACCGAUUCAGCCCAAAAAUGGGCUGAAGAUGAUAAAUAUUUAUAAAGUGGCCACCUUGAUGGUCCAAUUGGAUAGUUCAA